GUAGCUGGGACUACAGGCGACCCCCCACCGCACCAGGCUAAUUUUUUUGUAUUUUUUUCUUAGUAGAGACAGGGUUUCACCAUGUUAGCCAGGAUGGUCUCGAUCUCCUGACCUCGUUUUUUAAUAAAUAAUCUAGGUAAAGUAUAAAAUUCAAUCAGGUAAAUGUAAUGGAAUAAAUGCUUGUAAACUAACUUGUCCUAGUUUAGGAUCUAAGGUUAUUAAUUGACAUUAAGUAUCUGGGCAAUUUCCAAUUUAAGAAUUAUAGAAAAACAUUUUUUAAUGUUCCUAAUGGUAAAAUAUUGUUAAAAACAGUGUUUUUAGGCAGAUAGGAAAAGGGGUUUGGAAAGUUUUUGUUUCAUUUAAAGUAGCUCCAGAAAUGUUUCUUGUCUAUCAGGAAAGCCCUGGCUCUUAGAGCCAGGCCAGCAAGCUUUGAUAUGCAAAUUCAAGUCAUUAGAAACUGGGUCCACCCGAACAUAGCUAUUCCCGCUGUCUUUUCCUUGUUCACACAUGUGCCUGGCAACAUGGCCACCCCCACAUAUCCCCAUGUGUGUAGAACAUCACAGCGCCCUGUAUUUGCAUAUUAAAAGGCUAAGGUGAGAGGGCCAGUUUUUUCACGGGCUACAUGAAUGACAUGCCUGAUCAAACCAAUCCCCUGAGCCCUAUGCAAAUCAAACACUACCUCCUCCAGCCUCCACAUAUAAGCAGCCACUUUUCCACCCCACACAGGUUUUUCUCUCUAUUCGAAUCCACCCUCCCUUUGUUUCUGUACAGGGGAGCUGUUUUCUUCUUCCGUCCUUUCUUGCCUAUUAAACUUUUUGCUCCUUAAAACCAUUCCACGUGUGUCUGUGCCCUUUUAUCCAAACUGGUGCAAGACCAAGAACCCAGGUGUUCCUCUACUCGUUGGAGCUGUAUCAAUAUCUUUGUCUAAUUCAAAGCUUAUUUAAGUGUUAUAUAUGAAACAAGGUAAAAUAAAUCAGUAAAUAAGAGAGAUAUAAAGAAAGUUAUAAAAAUAAAGAGGUAUUUUUGGUAAAAAAAAAAAAAACAAAAGGCUUAAAGAAAAGUAAUUUUAUAUAAGAAAGAAUCUUGUGUGGUAAAUUUUUGUCCUAAGAUUAAAAAAAUGACAGAGUUAUACAAAAAGAAGGGAUAUUUUAAACAAAACAGUAUAAACAUGUUGUGAAUGAACUAUGUAAGUCAUAGUAAGGUCAGUAAGAAGGAAUUUUUAAGAGGGAUUGCAUAACUCAGUUGGCUAUGAUUAAGAAGAUAUUAUAAUAGUCUUUCUAGAAAUGGGUCUUUGAUAUUAAAAAUACACAAAUACUAAACUAAAAAAUUAGUUAAAACAAGAUUUUUAUUACAAAUAUUUAACUUUUAAUGCAAAAUUUUUAAAUUUUUGUAUUCUAUAAUCUGUUUUAUUUAACAUUCUUCAGAUUGAUAUCUUCAGAUUGAUAUCGAAAAGGCCUUGAAUGAUGGCUCUCUCCUUCAUAUUUUGUUGCCUCCUGUAACUUUUACUAAUUAUCUAAAGUAGGUGAGAAAAUGUUUGAAAACAGGCAAAUAAAAUACCUUUUGGACCUGUCUUUUUUUCUACAUGCCUGUUAUAUCUCUAUCUUUAUAUGUGUUAUGUAGAAAUGAUAUUUUAUUAAAAAACUACAUGAAAAACUAUUAAUUAGCUUAAUAAAUGUAAAUGCUUAUCAAAUUGGCAAACACUAGCUCAGAUGUCUUUUAAUUCACAUGACCUUGGUAAUCUUUGGUAAAAAUAAAUUUGGUAAAUUUAAUCUCAAAACUCUCUCCAGUAAUUUAAUACCUUAAAGUCAUGUUAAAACCUCAGUUCCGUGACCCCCUCCAAUGGAAAUUUGGGUAACUAAAAGUUAAAAUAAUAGGAGCAUAAAGUACACUUUGGGUAAAAUUUUAUAAAACACAUGGAUGUCAAUUUUCAAAAAAAAAAUGUAAGGGUUUUGGUUAAGGAACUAUUUAAGAGUUGCUUUAUAAUGAAGGAAAUUAUACAGAUAAAACUAAAUGAAAAAAAAAGAAAUCUAGGGCAAAAAAACUCUGAGCCCUAUGGUUACCAAGAAAAUAGUUGAUAUGGGGGAAUGGCAAAAUCAAGUAACUAUUUAAAACCAAAGGGUGUAAUGUAAAGGAAUUGUUCCAUUUUGUAAAUUGGUUUCAUUCAGCUUUGAAAAACAAUAACUACAACAACACCCAAAAAUCAGAAAAAACCUUUACUAUAGUGGAUUUUGGAUUGUAAAAAUAACCACUUUAAGGGCAAAAUUCUUAAUUUUAAAUGCUAUAGAAUUUAGAGCUUGUUUGGAUUAAUGCAGGACCCACAGCUCAUUCAUGAACAAUGACUGAGUAUAUGUGAUCCAAAUGCACAGGGUGUUAUCCUGAGAAAGCAAUCAGCCUUGUGGGCCAGAUAAAUCCAUUAUAAGAUCUGUCUUUCCCAGAGAAGGGGACUGCCCAACCCUCCCUAUAAAAUACCAAGUGAAGUGCCCCAGAUGAAGCAGUUGAUAUGUUUCAUAUGCAAGCCAUGUUGGACUAGGCUUUAUGAUAACUGGAAUAUCUUCCCAACAAAUAUGUCUAUUACCCAGGACAUGGUAAAUUUGGGGAUUAAGAGGGCCCUUUUACAUGGGUGCCCAUCCCACAGAAUCACAGGUCUGUGUAAGAAGACUUAUCUAAUCUGCUUUCCUUCAUAGGUCUUACAGAUGCAACUCCCUGCUGGGAACCCAAACCCGUUUCACCAGAAAAGUGAAAGCAUAAGGAAGGAAAUGGGCAUCUGCAAAGAAUCCAAGCAAGAGAAGGAGCAACCGGCUUGUGAACUCACUCCCUUAAGACAGCAUUAAUGUAUUCAAGGGGAUCUGCCCUGUGAUCCAAACACCGCCUACUAGGUCUCACUUCCCAACACUGCCACAUUGGGAAUCAAAUUUCAACAUGCGUUUUGUCAGCGACAAAUCACUUCCAAGCCAUAGCAACCACGUACCCACAAAUAAGAGUCGUAAUCUAUUAGGGUUUUUCUUAAGUUGAUCAUUUUUUCUGUAUAUAAAGUGACACAUUUCAGAAUAAAUUAGUAUGAUUUAA